rnacentral:lncRNA from 1 species
AUUAAAAUCUCUCUAGGGAGUUUUACAGCAAGGCCAUUCGGCAGUAUUUUUUCUGCAAUAUUAAAGAAAACGAUUGACCACCAAACGUUUUCAUUAAUAUAUUUGUGACCACCAAACGAUUUUACAUCCAAUAAUGCCUUUGAAAGUAAAUUUGUACGAAAAAUAAUAUUUGCCUAGUGAGUUUACAAUGAUGCCAAUCGUUAACGGUUUUUUCGAAUUUUUAGGAAAACGGAUGACCACCAAACGAUUUCAUUAGUUUAUUCGUGUUUACCAAACGAUUUUACAUCUAUUGACGCCUUUGAAAGUGAAUUUGUAUGAUAAAUAAUAUGUAUCUGGGUAAUUUCCAGUGAUACCAAAACCAGUGAUACUCAAAAACGGUUUUUUCUAAUUUCUACAAAAACGGUUGACCACCAAACGUUUUCAUUAGCAUAUUCAUGACCACCAAACAAUUCCAAAUCAAAUGAACUACUUGAAAUUAAAAUUGGUGCAAAAAUAAACAAUGUCGGGCUAACUUCACACCCAAAUUUUAUUUUUGAUAUUACAGGAGAACGGCUAACCACCAAAUGAUGGGACUAAACUACCAAAGACCACCAAACGACCACCAAAGGAUACCAAUUGGUGAAAAUUGAUAAAGCUGAAGUUGGCUGGCUAACUUCACAGAGGUCACGACAUUAGUCCGAAAACUAGAUGGGGAAAAUGUUGGUACCAACAAAAUUCUCUAGACAUUUCAAUUUCAAUUUUUACAGGUUAGUAACAUUGUUUAAGUAGUAAAUCUACGAGUGUUCGGAGUUUCGGAGAGACGUUUUGACAUAUGCGCGCGCCAAAAUAAUAAAUAUUAAGUUAAAUUGUAACAUGUAAUUGAAAUUAAUGUUAAAAAAUUACAACUGAAUAUUAAGUACAUAGAGAUGAACAAGAAAAAAAAUGUUUUAUAUAUUUAUAUGUAAGAGAAGAAAUUUUAAUAAAAUAUAUUAAUAUAUUAAACUAUACUAAAUUAUAUUUUUAUUAUAUUAAAUUAAUUAGUAAUAAUAAUUUUCAAUUUCUUUGAUGUGCCUUGACAGACAAGAUUUAUGAUUAAAAUCUGGUUUUCCAUAUUAAAAUCAUUGUCAGCCGAGAAACAAAAUCUGUGCAAAAUAAAAUAAAAACAUAAAGAAGGAAAAGGGAAAGAAAUAAAUGGAGAAUAAAAAUAUAUAUCAGAUAAGUAGCUAAUAUCUUUAUAAAAAAUUAUGUAUUCUAUGUGCAUUUUGUAGAUGAACCGAUUCUUUUCUUGAAUUAAUUUUUUGUUUCAGCUUCUUAGCCAAUCGUAGAAUGUUGACAGCUGGACCACCAGAAAACAAUUUCUUGCCGAAUAAAGCUGUCAAAUUCUAAGCCUGCUACUUCUUCGAGUAUGUCAAAAUUGUGAGCAAAAAAGUUGAAAUUAUAUUGUAAUAUCAAUUAGAUUUAUCAACGGUGCAGUAACAGAUUGAUACAACAAACUGAGAGCAGCAAACAGAAAAUGUGCUACCCACAUUGACUUUUACAAGAAUGGGUUUAGAAGUAGCGAUGGAUGCUUGUCCAACAAUCGAGGAUCAUUUAAUAAGUGAAUACACUAUUUGAUGUAAAAUAAACCAAAAUUAUCUUUUUAAAAACGGUAAAAAAGAUGCCAAGUGUGUAUGCUCUAGAAAACACCUCUUAAAUCUAAGAUACUCUUUAUCUAAUUCAACCCAAGUAAUAUCACGAGCCUUCUUAUACCAACUAAAAUGUAACUUUAAUUAUUAAACUAAUAAUUAUUUUAAAUGAAUUAUACCCACAAACACACACACACACACACACAUAUUAACUACAAAAAUAAUGAUAUCAAAAUAUUUCUUUAACGAUAAUUUGUUUUACUCCAAAUAGUAUAUGUUUACUUACGAAAUGAUAUUUGAUGUUACAAUGUGAUUUCAACUUUUUUGCUUACAAUUUUGGCAUACUCGAGGAAGUAGCAGGUUUAGAAUUUGACAGCUUUACUCGGCAAGGAAUUGUUCUCUGAUGGUCCAGCUGUCAACAUUCUACAAUUAGCAAAGAAGCUAAAACAAAAAAUUAAUUCAAGAAAAGAAUCGAUUCAUCUACAAAAAGCACAUAUAGAAUACAUAAUUUCUUAUAAAGAUAUUAACUACUUA